AUCUGGGCGGCGGAAUUCAGGAUGACGGGCGUGUCUUCGCGGAGGCGCGUUCGUCGUUUGAUAUUUCCGUCGCCGACUCAACCCGCAGACGUCGCGACCUGUUCGCGGUCGGUCCCUGCUCGGAGGAGUCACGUUCGAGUUUGUUGCGUGCGCGUUUCUGCGCGUCACGCGGCAAAGGCGUGAAUCUCUGGCUGGCCGUCGGACAGUACGUUCAACGGUGUCCGGUGUCGUCGUCUCGUACGCGCGCGCACCGGUACCGGUCAGCGACGAAUUCUUCGGGCCUCUUUCCGACCCGUCUUGAAACACGGACCAAGGAGUCUAACAUGCGCGCGAGUCGCGGGGUGUCGAACGUACCACGGUGCGUUCGUUACGUUGCGAAACCCGUACAUGUCGAAGGCGUAAUGAAAGUAAAUGGGGAAGAUGGUGUUCCGAGUACACGUUCCGCGGUCAUUGGUACCGCGGCCGGACACCCGCAUUCCCGGGGCGUCUCAACGGCCCGUCGCGGAUGCGGACAGUCGUCUUUCGGGGCGGCUGUCGGUCUGCGACGAACCGA
rnacentral:rRNA from 1 species